rnacentral:rRNA from 1 species
AACGAACGCUGGCGGCAGGCUUAACACAUGCAAGUCGAGCGCCCCGCAAGGGGAGCGGCAGACGGGUGAGUAACGCGUGGAAAUCUACCCAUCUCUACGGAAUAACGCAUGGAAACGUGUGCUAAUAUCGUAUACGUCCUUCGGGAGAAAGAUUUAUCGGAGAUGGAUGAGCCCGCGUUGGAUUAGCUAGUUGGUGGGGUAAAGGCCUACCAAGGCGACGAUCCAUAGCUGGUCUGAGAGGAUGAUCAGCCACACUGGGACUGAGACACGGCCCAGACUCGUACGGGAGGCAGCAGUGGGGAAUAUGGGACAAUGGGCGCAAGCCUGAUCCAGCCAUGCCGCGUGAGUGAUGAAGGCCCUAGGGUUGUAAAGCUCUUUCACCGGUGAAGAUAAUGACGGUAACCGGAGAAGAAGCCCCGGCUAACUUCGUGCCAGCAGCCGCGGUAAUAC